ensembl:lncRNA
GGAAGAAGCAGAGGAGAUGAUCUGGACAGGUGUUCUGGCUGAAUCACGAACAUGUAGGCCGGUAAAACAAAGACAGACAGAGUCCAUAGAAGAGGAUAUAAUACAUACGUGUUUUAUUUUGAUUUGCGGACCCUGACUAUGAGGACAUCAAAUUCGAAAUAGACAAGGAGGAGGAAGAGGAGAACAAUAAGCGAGGAAGGAAGGACAAGAAAAGCCUGAAAGAGGAGAAGAGAGCGUGCAAGGAGGAGAGGUGGCCCUCGCUUAUGGAAACUCUGGAGUUCGACUAGUCCAUAUAAGGGCGGAUCCCCUGUAGCUCUGCCCCCUCCGGUACUGGAGGACCAACCUGAUGAAGAGAAGCACAUAAUGGAGAAGAUCCAGCUGGCCAAUCGGCAGCUGCGGGAUCAGAAAACACCGGACAUGACUCUGCGCCGACGCCUUCACUUCAAAGAAACGCUGGUGGAUCUGGUGAUGUCCCCGCUGAAGUAUAGUGAGAGCGACAGUGGCGCCACCCACAGGACAGAGGUGGUAGAACAGGAGUGCCACAGCCUGAUCAACGGCAAGGACAUGGAGAGGACCGUAGCCCUAGGACCAUGCCUCAGGACUACCUGGCAUGAUGACUCCUUGCUGUCCCCAGUCCACCUGGCUGUGCUGCUGCUCCAGUUAGAACUGUUCAGCCUGCGGCUAUGAAACCCUGACCUGUUCACUGUGAUUACUAUUAUUUGACCAUGCUGGUCAUUUAUGAACAUUUUGGCCAUGUUC